rnacentral:rRNA from 2 species
UGACCUCGGAUCAGGUAGGACUACCCGCUGAACUUAA